CUUGUAUGGAAUCCUGUUAUUUAACAGAAACAAGCCAGCCAUGAAGGUUCUCUGCUCUCUUCUGUACUUGGCACAUCUAAUUUGUUGUAGUUUUGGGCUGACAGCUCUGAAAACUGAAGAGAUUGUCUGGGAGGGAGGAGCUGUUACUCUUUUCUGUAAAUAUGACGACAGCUCUGCAAAUAAUUUGCAGUGGUAUCGGCAGUAUCCUGGAUCUAAACCUGAAUUUUUAAUUUUGACUUUUCCAUCAUCAACGAGACCCAUUACUUCGGACCCCCCUCAUCCCCACAUUACGGCUAAAACUAACAAAACUCAUGCGGAAAUGGAGCUCCGGUCUGCGGCAGUAUCAGACUCUGCUAUGUACUACUGUGCUCUGACGCCCACAGUGGCAGGAAAUCCGGAAAUAUUGUACAAAAACCUGAGUGAAAAAGAGCUUCCUGGCCAAAAACAAGUUUUGUUUAUGCAAAAAGAUAUUCACACAAGUCUGCUGCAUUUGCAGGAAUAAGGCUGAAGGCCAAGGCCCUACAGUACCGUUUCAUGGAACAGUGGGUCAGUGUAGGCAUGAAGGAAGGACACAAAUGCACGACUUGACAAGACGGGUGAUUUACUCAUAACAGAGACAUGUGGUAAAGUGGAGUAACCUAGUGGGUAACAUACUCACCUAUUACCAAAUGUAAACGUGAAACAGGAAAACGCAUUCAAAACACAUUCACAUACCCGACAAAGACUAAACACAAGAGGGCAGUAUAUAUACACUCACAACAACUGGUGCAAACAGUCAGGUUCAUCAGGGGCAAACUUGAGGCCUCCAAAGAACCGUGACAGGACUCCCCCCUCCAUGGCACGUCUCCUGAGGCGGCCAAACUCACCCCUGGGGAAGUCAAAGUCCUCCAGUUUAGUCCUCCACCUUGUCUUGGUGGUCACUGGAAGCACCUGUACUGUGCAACGGGUGUCUUCAACCCCACAUAAAAAAUACCUUGGCUACUUGGGUUGGCAGUUAUGUGAGGAGCCUGUGGAAACAGUUACUCAGCAUGAUGGGAAAAUCAGCCAUUGCUGACACACAUUCAAUCUUCAUUAUUUUGUAAAAUGGUCAAUAAUUUACAGAAAAAAAAAUGUUAAUUCCAUCCAUUUCUCUGUAAUUUACACUGAUAUUCACAGAAUUGUGAAAUAAUAUUUUUUUCUUGAAUUGGACAGUGUUGGGAAGACCACAGUAGUGAAAGGCCUUCAAGGAGGUGCAACUACUCUACUCAUGCCAAACUAUAUCUAUA
ensembl:lncRNA